GCGGGUAUAGUUUAGUGGUAAAACCAAGCUAAAGAUGCGGGUUCGAUUCCCGCUACCCGC
rnacentral:tRNA from 1 species